CCCUGAUGCAAGUUUUCUCCACGGGACACCCCUGACCUACGUAUCUGUGUCCUUCCAACCGGCAUCUAGGAGCUAUGAACAAUAUAUAUUACUGAAUUAUGCCAUCGAUAUAUUUUAAAGUGUACAAUCGUUUCUACAAUAUUAUUAUAGGUAUAAAACUACAAAUGGAUUAUCCCGUAUGAACUUACAUAAUGGUAAACACCUAAGUCCAUCGCCUAUGAAACCAGCAUUGCAAGUACACCCGUAAGUGCCCGGAUAAUUCGUGCAAUAACUAUCCCUGUGACAGACUUCUGGUAUACUGCAUUCGUUGACAUCUAUGCACUCGAAAUCGGUGGAAUCGCUCGAUAACAGUCGUAUUUCAUAACUAUAGUUGACAAAUAUUUACUAUUUAAUUUGAGGAAACGUUGUUAUUUUAAAAUAUACCUAUUGUAUAGUUAAAUCUGCUUAAUAAGAUAAAAGUUCUUUUUAUAAAUAAUUUGUAACGUUAUCAGUUCCUAAUAAAGUAAUAAAUAAACGAUUAAUUUACCCUUGAAUGCAGGAACAAGUGCUAAUAUUAUUAGGCACAUCACAAACGCUGUUCUCGAUGUUAAAAGCCCUUGAUGUUGAUUCUAAAAAAAAUAUACGAAUUUCGAAGUUGACAUAAGUUCAAUGGUACAUACAUUUUUAAAUACAACCCCUUUCCGGGGUAUUAGUGAUAAAUAUUUUUAAUUACAUCCAAGCCCCGUUACGUUAUACUGGUUGCACAAAUUAUCUUGGUAAUCUAAUUGGAUACAGAACUUGUGAAAAUUAAUAAAUGAAAAAAUAUUAAGUUGA